rnacentral:rRNA from 1 species
GACGAACGCUGGCGGCGUGCUUAACACAUGCAAGUCGAACGGAAAGGCCCUGCUUUUGUGGGGUGCUCGAGUGGCGAACGGGUGAGUAACACGUGUGUAACCUGCCCUUUACUUUGGGAUAACUUCAGGAAACUGGGGCUAAUACCGGAUAGGAGCUCCUGCUGCAUGGUGUGGGUUGGAAAGUUUCGGCGGUUGGGGAUGGACUCGCGGCUUAUCAGCUUGUUGGUGGGGUAGUGGCUUACCAAGGCUUUGACGGGUAGCCGGCCUGAGAGGGUGACCGGCCAAAAUGGGACUGAGAGAGGGCCCAGAAUCCAACGGGAGGAAGGAGGGGGGAAUAGUGCAAAAUGGGCGGAAGCCUGAUGCAGCAAAGCCGCGUGGGGGAUGACGGCCUUCGGGUUGGAAACCGCUUGAGCCUGUGACGAAGAGUGAGUGACGGUAAUGGGUAAAGAAGCACCGGCUAACUACGUG